rnacentral:rRNA from 1 species
CACUUUCAACAACGGAUCUCUUGGCUCUCGCAUCGAUGAAGAACGUGGCGAAGUGCGAUAAGUAAUGUGAAUUGCAAAAUUCCGUGAAUCAUCGAAUCUUUGAACGCAAAUUGCACUCUCUGGUAACCCGGGGAGUAUGCCUGUUUAAGGGUCAGU